rnacentral:lncRNA from 1 species
AAAACACCUGACAUCGAUUAUGCAAUCGAUUCAUAUAAGUCUGAACAUAAUUUACUGAAAAGAGUUUUUAAAAGAAUCGAUUGGCAAAUCAAUUGGCUUAUGUAGUUUCAAGAUUCAAGAAAAACAAGACCCGCGAUAAUCGAUUGGCAAAUCGAUUAGACCUGUUUUAUAACUUUAAUGAAUCGAUUGGUAAAUCGAUUGAUUAGUUGUUUUUCAGAAACUAUAUAAACUAUUUUCAAUCAUUCUCUCAUUAACACAUGUAAACACUUGAAAAACAUCUUGAAUAUACUUCAGA